UGAGUAACCUGCCCCAGACUCUGGAAUAACCCCGGGAAACCGGAGCUAAUACCGGAUACGAGACGAAGCUGCAUGGCUAUCGUCUGGAAAGUUUUUCGGUCUGGGAUGGACUCGCGGCCUAUCAGCUUGUUGGUGAGGUAAUGGCUCACCAAGGCGACGACUGGUAGCCGGCCUGAGAGGGUGACCGGCCACACUGGGACUGAGACACGGCCCAGACUCCUACGGGGAGGCAG
rnacentral:rRNA from 1 species